rnacentral:rRNA from 1 species
UACGUAGGGGCCUAGCGUUGUCCGGAAUCAUUGGGCGUAAAGAGCGCGUAGGCGGCCCUGUAAGUCCGCUGUGAAAGUCAAGGGCUCAACCCUUGGAUGCCGGUGGAUACUGCAGGGCUAGAGUUCGGAAGAGGCGAGUGGAAUUCCUGGUGUAGCGGUGAAAUGCGCAGAUAUCAGGAGGAACACCGAUGGCGAAGGCAGCUCGCUGGGACGAUACUGACGCUGAGGCGCGAAAGCGUGGGGAGCAAACAGG